CCUACGGGAGGCAGCAGUGAGGAAUAUUGGUCAAUGGGCUUACGCCUGAACCAGCCAAGUCGCGUGAGGGAAGACUGCCCUAUGGGUUGUAAACCUCUUUUGUCAGGGAGCAACGCCGGCUGCGUGUAGCCGGACUGAGAGUACCUGAAGACAAAGCAUCGGCUACCUCCGUGCCAGCAGCCGCGGUGAUACGGGGGAUGCGAGCGUUAUCCGGAUUUGUUGGGUUAAAAGGGUACGUAGGCGGAAUGCCAAGUCAGCGGUAAAGUCGCGGGGCUGAACCCCGCUCCGCCGUUGAAACUGGUGUUCUUGAGUGGGGGAGAAGUAUGCGGAAUGCGUGGUGUAGCGGUGAAAUGCAUAGAUAUUACGCAGAACUCCGAUUGCGAAGGCAGCAUACCGGAGCCCAACUGACGCUGAAGCACGAAAGCGUGGGUAUCGAACAGGAUUAGAUACCCGAGUAGUC
rnacentral:rRNA from 1 species